GGGCCAAGUGAGGGAAUAAACGCUGGCCACCGCAGCCAGCAGCCGCAACCCUCUAGGUCCCCUUCCAUGCUGUGGAAGCUUUGUUCUUUUGCCCUUUGCAAUCAAUCUUGCUGCUGCUUACUCUUUGGGGCCGCAGUACCUUUGUAAGCUGUAACACUCACCGCAAAGGUCUGCGGUUUCACUCCUGAAGCCAGUGAGACCACGAACCCACUGGGAGGAACGAACAACUCUGGACACACAGCCUUUAAGAGCUGUAACGCUCACUGCGAAGGUGUGCGGCUUCACUCCUGCAGUCAUCAAGACCACGAACCCACCAGAAGGAAGAAACUCUGGACACAUCUGAACAUCUGAAGGAACAAACUCCGGACACACCAUCUUUAAGAACUUUAACACUCACCGCAAGGGUCCACAGCGUCAUUCUUGAAGUCAGUGAGACCAAGAACCCACUGGAAGGAACUAAUUCUGGACACACUGUGAUCACAUCACUGUACUUCAGCCUGGGUGACACAGUGAGACCCUGUCUCUAAUUAAAAACAAAAAUUAGAAUAUUGCUCCUGUGCAAUAUCAAAUGCUUAGUGGAUCUAGGUGAUGAUUGUCAAUGACUGCUAAUAAUACAUGAAGAAACAACCACAUAUUAUAUACUACUAAUCUAUGGAAAUAAGGGAGGGAGAAAUACAUUGAGAAACACUGCAGGAAUGCUAUCAGAAAAGUCCAGAAUAUAAGAAAUUCUAUAUCAAAUAACAUUUUUCAACAAAAGAAACUGAGAGAAAAGAAAAAGAAAUGAAAGCACAAUUUGCAGGUUAAAAGAGUUCAUGUUAUACUGGUGAUUCUUUCGUCUGUCUCAGAGAUGACAGCCUGCUAUACACCUUGUUGACCAAAAGCAACAUCAGGAUGAAGGCCCUGAUACACAGUGUUUGACUCUCUUGUCCUCUGACUUCUGCCACACACAAGGACACAGCGUUCAUCCCACUAAGAAGAAGAUGAAAAAGGGGAUAGCAUGCAGCCACAAGGAACAAUCUCAAAAGCAGAGAGAAGCCCUCACCAGACAACCACACCUGCAGACACCUUGAUCUUGAACUUCUCAGUGUCUAGAACUGUGAAAAAUAAAACUGUGGUCUUUAUAAAUUACCUGGUCUAAGGUACAAUCACAUGUCACUUAACAAUGUAGGGAUGGCCGGGCGUGGUGGCUCAUGCCUGUGAUAGCCCAGCACUUUGGGAGGCCAAAGCGGGCAGAUCACCUGAGGUCGGGAGUUCAAGACCAGCCUGGCCAACAUGGCGAAACUCUAUCUCUACUAAAGAUAUGAAAAUACAGUUGGCCGGGCUGGUGGCACAUGCCUGUAACCCCAGCUACUCAGGCUGAGGCAGGAGAAUCACUUGAACAUGGGAGGCGGAGGUUGCAGUGAGCCAAGAUCGCACCACUGCACUCCAGCCUCGGCAACAGAGUGAGACUCUGUUUCAAAAAAAAAAAAAAAAAGACAGUGUGGGGAUACAUUCUGAGAAAUGCGUUGUUAGGUGAUUUCCUUGUUGUGUGAACAUCACAGAGUGCACUUACACAAACCUAAAUGCUGUAACCUACUACACACCUGGGCUCGAUGGCAAAGCCUAUUCCUCCUGGGCUACAAAUCUGGACAGUAUCUUACUAUACUGAGUACCAUAGGCAACUGUACCACAAUGGUAAGUAUUUGUGUAUCUAAACACAGAAAAGAUACAGUAAAACUGAGGUAUGAGAGAGAAAAAAAUAGUACACCUUUACAGGUGUACAGACACUUACCACGAAUGGAGCUUGCAGGCCUGGAAGUUGCUCUGGGUGAGACAGUGAGUGAGUGGUGAGCGAAGCUGAAGGCCUAGGACAUUACUGCACACUACUGUAGACUUUGUAAACACUGUAGGCUUUGUAAACAUGCUACACUUAGGCUACACUGAAUUUAUUUUUAUAAAAAUAAAGUAAUUGCACUACGACAUUAUGAUGGCUAUGACAUCGCUAGGUGAUAGGAAUUUUUCAGUUCCAUUAUAAUCUUAUAGGACUACAGUCACAUACGCAGUCUGUUGACCAAAACAUUAUGCAUCUCAUGAUCGUAUUUUAUUACAGCAGAAGAAAUGGACUAAGACACUCCUGCCGCAGGGAUACCUACUAUGUCAGCAGAGCCAGCAGCACCUUGUCUAUGUCUGAGAGAGACUCCAUUGUGGCCUCCUCACCAGUUCACUAGGUGUCUCCUCCAGGAUCCUACAGACUAAAUCCAAUGAUGGGUGAAGUUCCCACAGACAGCCUUAAGAGGGGAAGUACUGGCCAGCAGCAGACAGCCACAACCUCAGAGAGCCAGGUGGGACCAGAUGUUUGCCUACUGGGUGCCGGAUCUACUAUCAUGGUCCAGGGACCCUCAAGGGUAGGGGCCACACACAAGAGCCCCAGUGGCCUACCUGGUGGUUUGGCAGGUAGAAGAGUCCUAGACAGUGCCCAAUGGGCCUCUUCAAGGACAGGCCAAAUCCAUGUUCAAGAUAUAGGCCAGCCCUCUAAGAAAAGAGGAAGAGGAAAUCCAAAAAAAAAAAAAAGAGGCCAAAAAUUCAAGACUUUGGAGGCACCAAUUUGUCUGGCAAUAACCAAUCUGAAAGUAAUACUGGAAUGGGGUGCUAGGGAUCUGCUGAGGUGCCAGGCAUUACUUCUUCUGUUGCUGGACUAGAGAGGAGGUCUAGAAUCCCUUCCCCCUUGGCCCUGGAGAAGGAACAAGGAUGGCCAUGUAAGUAGAGGACAUUGGCUACCUACCAAUCAGUAGGUGAGUUUUAUACUUUAAUAUAUGGUUAAAUACCAGAUCUGCCCUGGAACAUUGUAAGUGUUCAACAAACAUUAGUUAUUAUGAUAUAUGCUAUGAUCAUAAUAUGAACUUUAUGAUGAUUUUUUUUUUGCAGUGUGUUGUUAUUUUAAAUAGGCAGGCUAAGCAACUACUGUCAUCUCCUUUAACAAAUGAAGAAAUUGAGGCCAAUGAGGUUAAAUAACUCAAAUUCACAGUUAAAUACAUCUGUGUCUUCUUUUUUUAAGACUAGGUCUCACUCUGUCACCCAAGAUAGAGUGAAUAGUGCCAUCGUAGCUCACUACAGCCUUGAACCCCUGGGCCCAGGUGAUUCUCCCACCUCAUCACUCCCCUAACCCCAAGAACCUAGGACUGCAAGUGAAUAUUGACAUACCCAGCUAAUUUUUAAUUUUUUCUUAGGGACAGAGUCUCACUGUUUCCCAGGCUGAUCUUGAACUCCUGGCCUCAAAUGAUUCUCCCACUGUGGCCUACCAAAGUUCAUGGAUUACAGGUGUGAGCCACCAUGCCCAGCCCAUGUCUUUUCAUGUAUGUUUCAAUGCACCUUUCCAUCUACCCUCAUGUAGAUGAAGGAUUAAAAUGAUGGGGAAGUACAGAUGUGAAAGGGUGGAUAGAGGGAUACAGCUGAAAAAAUAACAAGCUUGAAAUAUAUGUAUAUCUAAACCAGAUUCAAGAAGUAGAAAGCAACUAAAAAUAGAGGAAUACAAUCAGAUAUGGCAAGGUUCAAUGUGCAGGAGAAAUUGAGAGAACCUAUGGUUUCAUGAAAGAUAUAUCAAAUUUUCUUAACCUUGUAAGUUAUAUAUCCACAAGUCAAAAAAAAUUCAACAUUUUGUGAGAAAUCCUAGUUUAAAGCCAAUGACAUAAUGUGAUUUCUAUUGUUUCCUUUUACUUUCAAAAGUGUUCUAAUUUGGGUAAUAAAUUAUAUGCUUACUCUUUAUACUUAAAUUGAUGAUAUGUGGUCUCAUGGAAGGUGGACCAUUUUUUGAAAGCCCUUUAUCAUCAGACUGACUGUGGUUCUAAAAUACUAACAAUUCAGAGAAUAAAAUAGUCUGAAGAUGGGUGGGAAAGACCACAAGUAUAGACAGAGGGCUACUGGAGUUCACAGGAGAGAAAACCUUUGAGAUGGUUGGGAAAUGAAUCUGUACAUCCCUAUAAGCAAUAAAAGGACACCACUGACAUGAAUAGUUCAGUCCUUAAGCAGAACAUCACCUCACUCUGAGGACAAAGGAGGUCACUGGCACUCUUGUCCUUUUCCUAUUUUCUCUCCCUGUGAGAACAUCAAAGGAUUAGGAGCUGAGAAAUUUUGCAAGCGAUCUGAGAUGAUAAUAAAAGGGUUAAAAAGAGGCUCUUUGUGAUGAAAGAGGAGCCAAGAAGAAGGAGAAAACUUCUUUAGCACAAUAAAAAAGAGUUAUGUUUUAUAAGAAGUAGAAUCAAUGUUAUACAAUAAAAUCAAUAUACUAUUUUCAGAUGAACAUAAGCUGCACUGUCUUUGGAAUAAAAUUAGUUGUUCUUGUACAGAACAAUUGUCAAUUUAGGGCUACACUGCAUCCAUUACUUUUUCCCACAGGCUUUUCAUUUUUC
rnacentral:lncRNA from 10 species